rnacentral:rRNA from 1 species
GCUUGUCUCAAAGAUUAAGCCAUGCAUGUCUAAGUAUAAACAACUUUAUACAGUGAAACUGCAGAUGGCUCAUUAAAUCAGUUAUAAUUUAUUUGAUGAUUAACUUUACUACAUGGAUAACCGUAGUAAUUCUAGAGCUAAUACAUGCGAAAAGUCCUGACUUCUUCGUGAGGGAGGGAUGUAUUUAUUAGAUACAACCGACCUCCUUCUGGAGCCUUUUGUCGACUCAUAGUAACUUCUCGAAUCGGAGGCUUGCCUCCGAUAGUUCAUUCAAAUUUCUGCCCUAUCAGCUUUCGACGGUAGUGUAGUGGACUACCGUGGCGUUAACGGGUAACGGAGAAUUAGGGUUCGAUUCCGGAGAGGGAGCCUGAGAAACGGCUACCACAUCCAAGGAAGGCAGCAGG